rnacentral:rRNA from 1 species
CAAAAACAUGUCCUUUUGUUUAUUAAUUUAAGGUCUAACCUGCCCAAUGAGGAAUUGAAUGGCCGCAGUAUAUUAACUGUGCUAAGGUAGCGUAAUCAUUUGUCUUUUAAUUGAGGGCUGGAAUGAAGGGUUGGACGAGGUAUUAGCUUUCUUUUAUUCAGUUUGAAGAAUUUAAUUUUUGAGUUAAAAAGCUUAAAUUUAUUUGUGGGACGAGAAGACCCUAUAGAUCUUUAUAGUUCUAUAUUUUAAUAAUUUAGAGAUUUAUAUAUUUAAGGUAAAUGAACUAUUUUGUUGGGGUGACUGUGGAAUUUGAGUAACUUCUAUUAUGUAUUUUCAUUAAUUGGUGUUUUUUUGAUCCAUAAUUUAUGAUUAGAAGAUUAAGUUACCUUAGGGAUAACAGCGUAAUUUCCUCGGAGAGUUCAUAUUGAUGAGGGGGUUUGCGACCUCGAUGUUGGAUUAAAAUGAGUUAUGGAUGCAGGAGUCUAUUUACUAGGUCUGUUCGACCUUUAAAUUUUUACAUGAUCUGAGUUC